rnacentral:rRNA from 1 species
CACAUGCAGUCGAGCGGUAAGGCCCUUCGGGGUACACGAGCGGCGAACGGGUGAGUAACACGUGAGCAACCUGCCCCUGACUCUGGGAUAAGCGGUGGAAACGCCGUCUAAUACCGGAUACGACCUUCCGCCUCAUGGUGGAGGGUGGAAAGUUUUUUCGGUCAGGGAUGGGCUCGCGGCCUAUCAGCUUGUUGGUGGGGUAACGGCCUACCAAGGCGAUUACGGGUAGCCGGCCUGAGAGGGCGACCGGCCACACUGGGACUGAGACACGGCCCAGACUCCUGCGGGAGGCAGCAGUGGGGAAUAUUGCGCAAUGGGCGAAAGCCUGACGCAGCGACGCCGCGUGGGGGAUGACGGCCUUCGGGUUGUAAACCUCUUUUACCACCAACGCAGGCUCCGGGUUCUCUCGGGGUUGACGGUAGGUGGGGAAUAAGGACCGGCUAACUACGUGCCAGCAGCCGCGGUAAUACGUAGGGUCCGAGCGUUGUCCGGAAUUAUUGGGCGUAAAGAGCUCGUAGGCGGCGUGUCGCGUCUGCUGUGAAAGACCGGGGCUUAACUCCGGUUCUGCAGUGGAUACGGGCAUGCUAGAGGUAGGUAGGGGAGACUGGAAUUCCUGGUGUAGCGGUGAAAUGCGCAGAUAUCAGGAGGAACACCGGUGGCGAAGGCGGGUCUCUGGGCCUUACCUGACGCUGAGGAGCGAAAGCAUGGGGAGCGAACAGGAUUAGAUACCCUGGUAGUCCAUGCCGUAAA